GUUAAACUCCUCCUUCAAUG
rnacentral:tRNA from 2 species